GACGAACGCUGGCGGCGUGCUUAACACAUGCAAGUCGAACGAAGUGGCGAACGGGUGAGUAACGCGUAAUCAACCUGCCCUUCAGAGGGGGACAACAGUUGGAAACGACUGCUAAUACCGCAUACUGAAGGAGGGGUUUGCGUCUGAUUAGCUGGUUGGAGGGGUAACGGCCAACCAAGGCGAUGAUCAGUAGCCGGACUGAGAGGAUGAACGGCAAAAUUGGGACUGGGAGACGGCCCAGACGCCGUCGGGAGGCAACGGUGGGAAAUCGUCCGAAAAGGAGGAAAGUCUGAUGGAGCAACGGCGCGUGAGUGAGGACGGCCUUCGGGUUGUAAAGCUCUGUUAAUCGGGACGCGGUACCGGAAUAGAAAGCCACGGCUAACUACGUGCCAGCAGCCGCGGUAAUAC
rnacentral:rRNA from 1 species